GCGGAAGUGGCCGGCUGGAGCCGGGGGCUGGGCGGGGACCGGGCUUGUCGGUGAGGCGGCAGCGGUGGCGGCGGCGGCUCGGCAGGCGGGUUCAGGCUUCGGGGGCCAGCCGCCGCCAUGAUCCUGCUGGAGGUGAACAACCGCAUCAUCGAGGAGACGCUCGCGCUCAAGUUCGAGAACGCGGCCGCCGGGAAAGGAACCUGAGGCUCAGCAAUAUCUGAACAACAUUGAGUGUGGUUUAUAGCCAUAGGAGAGUGAGGAACUCAGUCCUUCGUUGGCUGAGUUAAAACCUAAGGAUUAAAAAAAAAACAAAAAAGAAAAACCCAGCCACCUACUAAGUGAUGCAAUAUGGACUUUUACAAGCCUCCACCCUGACUUUUUGGCAUAGCCACCCUUCCCCAGGAAAAUAUACUUUGGUGCUCCCUCCCAUUGUGCAGCCUCUUCAUAAUUCAUUCAGGUGAGCCCUAGAUUAAUGUUUGUGCUGCUUCUUCCUUUGCUCUUGGCUUUUUAGAGGUGAGGAAUGGUGGUUGGCCAUUCAUUGUCUUUGUCUCCUGGCUGUAGUUUCAAAUGAAAGAUCAGAAGCAAUUUAAGUUUUCAUCUCGCUCUUUUCAUCAUAUUCUGAACUCACUGCUUCUCUGUAAACCCACUCGGUGCUUUCAUUCUUAGAGUCUCCCAGAGUGAUUCUCCUAAACCACACAUGGAUGGCUAUGAUGAAAGAGUAGAGUAGAACUCUGUAUGUGACUUAUAUCGGUUGAUUUUUCAACAGGGAUAACGUACACUUCAUAGAAGCCAGUUUCCUGGAACGGUAUUGUAUAACAUCUGCAGCAGCUUUUUAACACUCAUAAACCCCCCUGUGUAUUCCAUUAUUUCCCAGCAACCUAGAGGGCAGCUCAGUCGUGGUGCCCUUUACAGGUAGGGGAGCGGAAGUAGUAAAAAGAUGUACUUGAUGUAAAAAGAAGUAAAAAAGAUGUACUUCAUGGUGAGGUCUUGAGCAAAUUAGGCAAGGAUAAAUGUGGAAAUGUGUGUGUCUUGUCUGCUGGUCCAUAAAACAAAGUGGAAUCAUUAGAGUCCUAGGUAGUUAGAGAUAAAACCGUGGAGCCUUGGGGCGCCUGGGUGG